GACGAACGCUGGCGGCGUGCCUAACACAUGCCAGUCGAACGGACAGACCCUGCUUUUGUGGGGUGCUCGAGUGGCGAACAGGUGAGUAACACGUGUGUAACAUGCCCUUAUAUUUGGGAUAAAAUCAGGAAAAUGCGGCUCAUAUCGGGUAGGAGCUCCUGAUGCAUAGUGGGGGAUGGAGAGAUUCGGCGGUUGGGGCUGGUCUCGCGGGUUAUCCGCUUGUUGGUGGGGUAGUGGAUUACCAAGGCUUUGACGGGUAGCCGGCCUGGGAGGGUGGCCGGGGACAUGGGGCCUGAGAGACGGCCCAGACUCCUACGGUAGGCAGCAGGGGGGAAGAUGGCAGAGUGGGCGGAAGUCUGAUGUAGCAACGCCCGGAUCGGGAUGACGUCCUUCGGGUGGUGAACCGCUGUGGCCUGUGAUGUGGCGGUAGUGACGGUAAUGGGUAAAGAAGCACCGGCUAACUACGUG
rnacentral:rRNA from 1 species